CCUACGGGGGGCAGCAGUGGGGAAUAUUGCACAAUGGGGGAAACCCUGAUGCAGCAACGCCGCGUGAGCGAAGAAGGCCUUCGGGUUGUAAAGCUCUUUCCUCAGGGAAGAAGCAUGACGGUACAUUAGGAGGAAGCACUGGCUAACUACGGGCCAGCAGCGGCGGCAAACGGCGGGGGGCGAGCGUUAUCCGGAAUCACGGGGCGUAAAGGGUGCGGAGGCGGCCGAUUAAGCCAGGGGUGAAAGGCUACGGCUCAACCGUGGUAAGCCCUUGGGACUGAAUGGCUUGAGUGCAGGAGAGGGGGGUGGAAUUCCUAGUGUAGCGGUGAAAUGCGUAGAUAUUAGGAGGAACACCGGUGGCGAAGGCGGCUCUCUGGACUGUAACUGACGCUGAGGCACGAAAGCGUGGGGAGCAAACAGGAUUAGAUACCCCUGUAGUC
rnacentral:rRNA from 1 species